UACGGAGGGAGCUAGCGUUGUUCGGAAUUACUGGGCGUAAAGCGCGCGUAGGCGGCUUUGCAAGUUAGAGGUGAAAGCCCGGGGCUCAACUCCGGAACUGCCUUUAAGACUGCAUCGCUUGAAUCCAGGAGAGGUGAGUGGAAUUCCGAGUGUAGAGGUGAAAUGCGUAGAUAUCGGGAGGAACACCAGAGGCGAAGGCGGCCUACUGGGCUGCACCUGACGCUGAGCCGCGAAAGCCAGGGGAGCGAACGGG
rnacentral:rRNA from 1 species